rnacentral:rRNA from 1 species
GACGAACGCUGGCGGCGUGCUUAACACAUGCAAGUCGAGCGGUAAGGCCCUUCGGGGUACACGAGCGGCGAACGGGUGAGUAACACGUGGGUGACCUGCCUCUAGCUCUGGGAUAAGCCUGGGAAACUGGGUCUAAUACCGGAUAUGACUCCACGGCGCAUGUUGUGGGGUGAAAGCCUUGUGUGGCUAGAGAUGGGCCCGCGGCCUAUCAGCUUGUUGGUGGGGUGANGGCCUACCAAGGCGACGACGGGUAGCCGGCCUGAGAGGCGACCGGCCACACUGGGACUGAGACACGGCCCAGACUCCUACGGGAGGCAGCAGUGGGGAAUCUUGCGCAAUGGGCGAAAGCCUGACGCAGCGACGCCGCGUGAGGG